rnacentral:tRNA from 2 species
GGCGGGGUAGCUCAGUUGGUUAGAGCAGCGGAAUCAUAAUCCGCGUGUCGGGGGUUCGAAUCCCUCCCCCGCUA